rnacentral:pre_miRNA from 13 species
CUAUAUAUACACAUAUAUAUGUGUGUAUAUAUAUAUACACACACAUAUAUAUGUGUAUAUAUAGG